rnacentral:rRNA from 1 species
AUACGGAGGGUGCAAGCGUUGUUCGGAAUUACUGGGCGUAAAGCGCGCGUAGGUGGUCUGUUAUGUCAGAUGUGAAAGUCCACGGCUCAACCGUGGAAGUGCAUUUGAAACUGGCAGACUUGAGUACUGGAGGGGGUAGUGGAAUUCCCGGUGUAGAGGUGAAAUUCGUAGAUAUCGGGAGGAAUACCGGUGGCGAAGGCGACUACCUGGCCAGAUACUGAUACUGAGGUGCGAAAGCGUGGGGAGCGAACAGGAUUAGAAACCCCGGUAGUCC